rnacentral:lncRNA from 1 species
UUGGAUUAUCUAAACACAACCUCUUGUCUCUCUCAAUAUCACAACCCUAUCUUUCUUUCGUGAUUGUUCUCUUGCUCGAUUUCUAACUCGGUGGUGCCGUUUUUCUGCAACGAUAAGAUAAGGCUGUUUAUACAGUAUUUAAAAAAAAAAUAGAGGUUGUUGCAAGCAAAGGUAGUUAUAAACCGCUAUGUUGGAGUCGACAAAUCCAAACACAUGAAAGGAAUAUAGCCUUGACAUGAUAUUGAUGGAUGAUAUAAAUAAAUUAACUGUUAUUGG